GACGAACGCUGGCGGCAUGCCUCAUACAUGCAAGUCGAGCGGUCUUUAAGUGGAAGGCUUGCCUUUCACUUGAAGAUAGCGGCGGACGGGUGAGUAACGCGUGGGUAACCUGCCCUAAAGUGGGGGAUAACAUUCCGAAAGGAGUGCUAAUACCGCAUAAUGUCCUUUGCCCGCAUGGGUGGAGGAAGAAAGGGAUUAACUCGCUUUAGGAUGGGCCCGCGUCCCAUUAGCUAGUUGGUAGGGUAACGGCCUACCAAGGCGACGAUGGGUAGCCGGCCUGAGAGGGCGACCGGCCACACUGGGACUGAGACACGGCCCAGACUCCUACGGGAGGCAGCAGUCGGGAAUAUUGGUCAAUGGGGAACCCUGAACCAGCAAUGCCGCGUGAGCGACGAAGGUCUUCGGAUCGUAAAGCUCUGUCCUUGGGGAAGAUAAUGACGGUACCCAAGAAGAAAGCCACUGCUAACUACGUG
rnacentral:rRNA from 1 species